UGAGGAAUAUUGGUCAAUGGUCGAGAGACUGAACCAGCCAAGUCGCGUGAAGGAUGACGGUUCUAUGAAUUGUAAACUUCUUUUAUCAGGGAAUAAAGUGAGGUACGUGUACCUUUUUGUAUGUACCUGAUGAAUAAGCAUCGGCUAACUCCGUGCCAGCAGCCGCGGUAAUACGGAGGAUGCGAGCGUUAUCCGGAUUUAUUGGGUUUAAAGGGUGCGUAGGCUGGCUUUUAAGUCAGCGGUGAAAGGUUCGAGCUUAACUCGGACACUGCCGUUGAAACUGAUAGUCUUGAGUGCAUAUGAGGUAGGCGGAAUGUGUUGUGUAGCGGUGAAAUGCAUAGAUAUACCACAGAACUCCGAUUGCGAAGGCAGCUUACUGGGAUGCAACUGACGCUGAUGCACGAGAGCGUGGGUAUCAAACA
rnacentral:rRNA from 1 species